rnacentral:rRNA from 1 species
CCUACGGGCGGCUGCAGUGGGGGAUAUUGCACAAUGGGGGGAACCCUGAUGCAGCGACGCCGCGUGGGUGAAGGAGUGCUUCGGCAUGUAAAGCCUUAUCGGCAGGGAAGAAGCAAGACGGUACCUGACUAAGAAGCCCCGGCUAACUCCGUGCCAGCAGCCGCGGUAAUAUGUAGGGGGCGAGCGUUAUCCGGAUUCACUGGGUGUAAAGGGAGGGUAGACGGCCAUGCAAGCCAGGGGUGAAAGCCCGGGGCCCAGCCCCGGGCCUGCCCUUGGAACGGUGCGGGUAGAGGGCGGGAGGGGCAGGCGGAAUGCCUGGUGUAGCGGUGAAAUGCGUAGAUAUCAGGAGGAACACCGGCGGCGAAGGCGGCCUGCUGGACCGCGACUGACGUUGAGGCUCGAAAGCGUGGGGAGCGAACAGGAUUAGAUACCCGGGUAGUC